GGGCGCGUAGCUCAGCGGGAGAGCACCCGCCUUACAAGCGGGGGGUCGCAGGUUCGAAACCUGCCGCGCCCACCA
rnacentral:tRNA from 1 species